CUCGAGCGUAGGGUUUCUUCGAAUACGAGAUCUCUGGUUCCUUCCUUCCUUGCUCCUUUGUUCUUCUCCUUGGCGGUCUCGGUUUCAAUAGGGGAGGGGAAGCUGUCGUUCGGAUUGCCGGAGUACGGCCUCCAGGCGAUGCUGAAGGAAGGGCACAAGCACCUCCCGGGGCUCGACGAGGCCGUCCUCAGGAACAUCGACGCCUGAAAGUAGCUUUCCUACAUCACCCGCACCUCCCUCGGUCCCAACGAUCAUAAAGGCCAAGUCAGCAGGUGGGCCAAAAAGAGAUCAACCGACUAGCAUGGAUGAGGUUUAACUUCUUCUUGGAUUUUUUAAGAGCAUUGUUACUGACAAUGCUGCAGCUAAAAGAGUCGUAUCUGUUUUUAGCCAUGCAACGGAUAUCUGAGCAAGUUCAGCUACAGAAGCCAGUGGCUUUGUGGCACUAGUAAUUGCUUUCGAGGGAAGAUUUGCAGUUCUCUGAAUCUGGUGCACUGGUUUUGAACAUCAGAACAUUUCAUUGUUCUCAAUCAGAAGGUUUCAUGCACGAGUUUCCUGAAUUGUUCAUACGAUGUAAUCGUGCCAGCUUAGGGUUGCGACACCGUAUUGUGCUGGCUGUCAUCAGUAUCAAAGUAUCAUUCUUAGCAAUGUUGUAUUAGUAAAAUAAAAUUAGGGUUUUUUGUUUGCAACUAUGUAGGAUAAAUCAUAGUGUUCUUUGUAUUGUAGGUUUGACAGUUUUGAAAAUUUUGAAGUAAUAUGAAUUUGUACUUAAAAUGUGAUCUA